UACGUAGGGUGCAAGCGUUGUCCGGAAUUAUUGGGCGUAAAGAGCUCGUAGGCGGUCUGUCGCGUCUGCUGUGAAAACUCGGGGCUCAACUCCGAGCUUGCAGUGGGUACGGGCAGACUAGAGUGCGGUAGGGGAGACUGGAAUUCCUGGUGUAGCGGUGGAAUGCGCAGAUAUCAGGAGGAACAUCGGUGGCGAAGGCGGGUCUCUGGGCCGUAACUGACGCUGAGGAGCGAAAGCAUGGGGAGCGAACAGG
rnacentral:rRNA from 1 species